UACGGGGGGGGUAAGCGUUGUUCGGAAUUACUGGGCGUAAAGGGCUCGUAGGCGGCCAACUAAGUCAUACGUGAAAUCCCUCAGCUUAACUGGGGAACUGCGUGUGAUACUGGAUGGCUUGGAUGUGGGAGAGGGAUGCGGAAUUCCAGGUGUAGCGGUGAAAUGCGUAGAUAUCUGGAGGAACACCGGUGGCGAAGGCGGCAUCCUGGACCAUUAUUGACGCUGAGGAGCGAAAGCCAGGGGGAGCAAACGGG
rnacentral:rRNA from 1 species